GCUGGCGUGGUGGAAUCGGCAGACGCGACGGACUCAAAAUCCGUUGGUAGAGAUACCGUGUGGGUUCAAGUCCCACCGCCAGCACCA
rnacentral:tRNA from 1 species